UGGCAAUGAGAGGACGAGGGGAACGGCGGCGGUGGCCCGCGCUGCUGCUCGUCGUCCUUGCCU
rnacentral:pre_miRNA from 1 species